rnacentral:rRNA from 1 species
UACAGAGGGUGCAAGCGUUGUUCGGAAUUAUUGGGCGUAAAGGGCGCGUAGGCGGUGCGGUAAGUCUGCAGUGAAAUCUCUGGGCUCAACUCAGAGUCUGCUGUGGAAACUGCCGUGCUUGAGUGUGGGAGAGGUGAGUGGAAUUCCCGGUGUAGCGGUGAAAUGCGUAGAUAUCAGGGGGAACACCUGUGGCGAAAGCGGCUCACUGGACCAUAACUGACGCUGAUGCACGAAAGCUAGGGGAGCAAACAGG